rnacentral:rRNA from 1 species
GGAGCUAUUGGCUUUGAAUUGUAUUGUGGAAAUGUAUUACCAACAGAGGUGCAGGUGCCAGCCUAUUGAAAUAAAGCGUCAAUGAGGGUGAGAAUCCUGUUUGUCAUGUGCAGCCCUUUGUGCACGGUGUAUAUUUGCUGAGUCACACUCCUUGGCAUUGGAAUGCAAAGUGGGUGGUAAGUUUCAUGUAAAGGUAAACAUGCAAUUGAGACUGAUAGCACACAAGUACCAUGAGGGAAAUAUGAAAAGGACUUUGAAAAGAGAAUUAAAUGAGUUUGUAUUUGCUGAACACAAAGUAAACAGACUUGAUUUGCUUGGUGGGAGUGUUGCACUUGCUUGACAAGAGCUUUGGGCUGUGGGUGUAAUGAUUCUUUCUUUGCAUGCCAGUUUCUAUUUGUACAUCUGAUUACCUUUGCACAUGAAUGAUAAGUCUCCUGUGGGGGGUGGAUUGCAUGUGCAUGUAAUGAUUUGUGUUUUGAUAAAUGUGUCUGGUGUAUGUGUGUGUUCCUGUGCUUGGGGAUGCUUCCUUCCUUGGACUUACAAGCCCUGACACACACAUGCUGGCAAAAUGCUUCUGCUUGACCCGUCUUGAAACACGGACCAAGGAGUCUAACAGAUGUGCAAAGUUUGAAGGUGGUAUACCUUUGUGUGCAAUGAAAGUGUCAGCUGGGAUAUGUGCACCAGCACCCAAUUAAUUAGCGGACAGAGGUUUGAGUUGGAGCAUAUCUAUUAGGACCCGAAAGAUGGUGAACUAUGCCUGAACAGAAUGAAUUCAGAGGAAACUCUGAUGGAGGUUCGUAUCGAUACUGACGUGCAAAUCGUUCGUCAUAUUUGGGUAUAGGGGCGAAAGACUAAUCGAACCAUCUAGUAGCUGGUUCCCUCCGAAGUUUCCCUCAGGAUAGCUGGAGUUGCUCAGUUUUAUCAGGUAAAGCGAAUGAUUAGAGGAAUUGGGGACAGGUUUGUCUUUGAC